UACGUAGGGGGCAAGCGUUGUCCGGAAUCAUUGGGCGUAAAGGGCUCGUAGGCGGUCUGUUGCGUCGGGUGUGAAAACUCAGGGCUUAACCCUGAGCCUGCUUCCGAUACGGGCAGACUAGAGGUAUGCAGGGGAGAACGGAAUUCCUGGUGUAGCGGUGAAAUGCGCAGAUAUCAGGAGGAACACCGGUGGCGAAGGCGGUUCUCUGGGCAUUACCUGACGCUGAGGAGCGAAAGUGUGGGGAGCGAACAGG
rnacentral:rRNA from 1 species